rnacentral:rRNA from 1 species
UACAGAGGUCUCAAGCGUUGUCCGGAUUUAUUGGGCGUAAAGCGCGUGUAGGCGGCCAGGUAGGUCCGUUGUGAAAACCCGAGGCUUAACCCGUCGGGACGCCGACGGAAACCGAUCUGGCUAGGGUCCGGAAGAGGAGAGUGGAAUUCCCGGUGUAGCGGAUGAAAUGCGCAGAAUGAUCGGGAACGAAGCACCCGUGGGCGAAGGCGGCGUC